UUGUUUUUCACCCAAAAUGUGAGAUUUGAGGUGUUGUUUCCCGGCAGACGCUGCAGGCCAUGGACACCAUGCUGGAGGAGAUGCUUCUGGGCUCUCCCAGCUCCACCAUCGUUCUCCAGGAUGUCCUGGAGGUUUUGCUGGAGUAUUUCUUCUUCGACACAGCGGCCGUGCAGGAAAGAGUGAUGGGCAGGAUUAAACUGCUGAGCCGUUUUUUAUCCGACUCUUCCAUUGUGCAGGUAAAAGCCUGGACCCUAAAACACCUUCAAACCUCAAAUCCCCACCUUUAAUUUUUAAAUUUUUUUUAAUUUUUCACUCACCUGUUUUCCUGCGGACGGGUGGAAAGGAGGAGAGCGGCGCUGCCGGCGGACAGAUCCCGGCGCUGGGCAAGCUGCUGGGCCAUCUUUUCUUGAAGUUGUUGAGGAAAGAGGAAAGCAGCGGGACGGUGGUGGAGAUCCUCUGCUCCCUCAUGACCUUCCUCUCCCGGCAGAAACGCACCAAGCUGCCAGAGGUGCACGCGGAGCUCCCGGCGUUCUGGGAAGCCGAGAUCGCUUCCUACCUGGAUAUGCCCAGCAGCUGGACGGUUCAGGCCUUUGGGAGAUACCUCAGGCCUGCUGAGAGGACAGACAUCAUCCUCACCGCCAUCGAGAUCCUGGGACGCUCCAGCCUCCUGGACAAGCGGGUGCCAAUGGAGUUCCUGGAGGUGGCCAUGAAAUCCCCUGAGCUGUGGCUGGUGGAUGUGCCAAAGGUGGUGAGACACAUCUUCACCUACUGCGACGAGAAAAAUGCCACAACCGCUCGCUGCUUCCACGCCCUGCUCGCCCUCAUGGCCAACCUGUGGCCUGGGCUGGUCGUCACCACAGCUCUGGAGGCUGCGCCGAUACUCAGCGAUAAAGUCUGUCUGUGGGAGGCCAUGUUCUCCGUGCGCCAGUCUCUGGAGAAGGUUCUGAGGGAGCUGCACAUGAAACUCUGGGACCACCAGAAGGAAGUCUUCACUCAGCAGCAGAAGUCCUGCUUCGCUUUCUUGGCUAUGUUGGCGUCUGGAGACGUUCUGGAGAAGAAAGUGGGCUCGUUGUACAAGAGCCUGAAUCUUCUGAGGUCUUCAAGGAUGGAGAUGGUUCCUCUGGUGCUCAGGGCCCUGGUGACGCUGUCAGAGGGAGCUGAGACGGCAAGGAAAAUGAGAGGCCUCCUCCCCGAGCUGCUGAAGUUCCUUUGGCAUUGGUCCUGGGACAUCUCGGUGAUGGCCAUGGACACCUGCCUGAACGUGCUGGGCCAGCUGAGGAGCAGCGAGGCCAGCCCCGUGGUGGCCAAGGUGGUGCAGAACCUCUGGCGGCUCUUCGAUGCGGUAAGGUUGAUGUGGGAACCCGGCAGCCUUGGGAGCUCCUCUGGGCUGUCCUGGCUUCUGGAACACCUGGGGCACCCCAAACAUACCUGGGACACCCCAAACAUACCUGGGGCACCCCAAAACACACCUGGGACACCCCAAAACACACCUGGGACAGCCCAAAACACACCUGGGACACCUCAAAACACACCUGGGGUACCCCAAACACACCUGGGACACCCCAAACACACCUGGGGUACCCCAAAACACACCUGGGACACCCCAAACACACCUGGGACAGCCCAAAACACACCUAGGACACCUCAAAACACACCUGGGACACCUCAAAACACACCUGGGGUACCCCAAACACACCUGGGACAGCCCAAAACACACCUGAGGACACCCCCAAACCCCCCUGGGAGCUCCCCUGGCCUCUCCUGCCCUCCAGACCCCCAGAACAUCACCCCUCAACCCAUCAACCCUCCCCACCCGUGUUUUUAUUCCCUUUUCUCCUUCCUUUUUAUCCUAUUUCCUCCUUCCUUUUUAUCCCCUUUUCUCCUUCCUUUUUAUCCCCUUUUCUCCUUCCUUUUUAUUCCCUUUUUUUUAUUCCCUUUUCUCCUUUUUAUUCCCUUUUCUCCUUCCUUUAAUUCCCUUUUCUCCUUCCUUUUUAUCCCCUUUUCUCCUUCCUUUUUAUUCUUCUUUCUUUCUUUUUUA
ensembl:lncRNA